AUUAUGCUCAAUCGAAAGAGCUUGAAAAAAUAUCACUUUUGAAUCGAGAACAUGUAUCCGCAAAAUUCGUAUUGUCGAGUAUUUUGCAUUUAAAAGUGAAAAAAUUUCGACAAAGAAUGCAAAUGUUCAAUUUGUUGUUUGACAUUUGACAGCUCUAUGGUUUCGUUCAGAAAUUGUAAAUAUUUUUACGUCCGUCAUGCAUGUUGGACAGAUUGCUGGUGAGAGUGUGGGUAAGCCUAUUUAAAAAAAACGACUACUGUCAGUGUAAGAUGACACUGGUGACAGAUGACACACAAACAUGUUACAUGUAUUGUGCAUUGAUUGACGGGUAAAACCAUGGUAAAACCAAAACUUUGUGCUUUACCAGUCUGAAAUUAAGUUUAAUUUUCAGUAAAGGGUCUAAAUGUUUGUGACUAACCUAAGCCCUCCUACGUGUACACGCUCGACGCAGCUAGCCAACUUUAUUGUCACGCGUGCAAUAGAGUACCUAUUAAAGGCCAAGUUCGGCCUGGCCAGCCAGGGUUCACGCUAGACAACGUCAACGAUUUAUUUGGGGUCGCCGUCAUCGAAAACGAUGAGGAGGAGGAGGACUAUACUUACUAACGAUGACACGGCACCGCCGCGUAAAACAAACCUAUGCCGAAAAUCAUAGUUUCAAGUAUUUUGAAUGCUGUAGCCAGAAGACUGCCAGACAAAUGUGGAUUAAUAAGGUUGUGGAGAUAAAAAAAAAUACAUCCACACUACAGCAUCCGAAAUCUCAAAAUCAUUUGCUUCUAUAUCGAAGAGCUCUCUGGAUUUUUUUGAUGACUUUCCGGUCACUUAUCUUGACAUAAAUGCUGAAGGAAUUUAUUAUGUCACUUUAAAAGGAGACAAAGAGCAGGACGGUAUUAUAAAACAAAGUUAAACAUCACGGCCCGAAGACCACCCAAAUGAUGAAAAUGUAUUAACUAGGUUCAGUUCUUUUCAAAUUUGUAUUAAGGGGAGAAAAUCCAAAAUUAAAAUUCAGAUAAAAACUUUAAUGUUUUAAGAAAUUGUAAGUCAUUUCAAGUUUUAGACAUUUUGAAACAAAAAAAUGUUUUGAGAAGAAUGUGUUUGACAGAUGGUAAAGCUGCGGUUUCUGCUGGGAUGUGGGGAUGCAUAGCGAGGAAUGUGUUUGUAAGAACCAAUACAAAUUGUCCUCCAGGACU